rnacentral:lncRNA from 1 species
CCCCUAUCUGACUGUUCAGUCUUUCCCUCCUGGGAAAACUGACUCAGGUUGGAUUUUUUUCUCAUCUGCUACGGAGCCCCCUUCCAACUCAGGCCCGCUCCCACCCCUGUGCAGUAUUAUGCCAUGUCCCUCUCACCCCCACGGGCAACCCAGGCGCCCUUGGCCGUCCUCGUUGGGCCUUUCUGGUUUUGGGCAGCAGGGGGCGCUGCGACGCCCGUCUUGCUGGAGCGCUUUAUACUGUGAAUGAAUGGCCAGAUUGCUGGGUGCGCCGGAUGGGAUUGACCCCCAACCCUCCAAAGCCUUCCCUGGGCCUCUCCUUCUUCCACUUGCCCCCUUCCAACCCUUGACAGGGAGUUAGACCCGAAAGGAGUGACUGCGAUGCAUCCCGGUGGCCUUCUUGCUCAGGCCCCAGACAUUUUCUCUAAGUCCUUCGCCUUCCCCA